rnacentral:tRNA from 1 species
GCAGAUGACGUCGAGGCGGUUGAAGAGCACCAGCUUUGGGAGUUGGUAGAUGCGGGUUCGAAUCCCGUCGGGUGCG